CCCAGUUUACCUUCAAAAUGUUGAUGGUCACAACGUCGAAACCACUUCUGUGAACUCUGAACUGCACCUUCUCAAAACCUCGAGUGCCGAUAUUCCAAACUACAAAACCGCGCCCCCUUUUUGAUCCAUGUUAGCACUUGUUUGUAAGUGUGGUAUGGUCAGAAAUAUCGACGUUCAAUGUUUUGUCAACUUUCUGAAGUUCGGCGGCGCUGGGAGUGGUUUUGCGGAAGGGUUUUGGCGGUGUGCACAUUCGACUAUGUGCAGUCAACAAUUUAAAGGGAUACACUCCACUGCAUAUUGCAGCUCUUCACGGCCAAGAACAAAUCAUUAAGCUACUGAUCAACACAUACAAUGCCAACCCAGAUAUCAGGGACUAUCAUGGAAAGAAGCCAAUGCAUUACUGGAAAGGAAACAGCAAUAUAUUUCAGCCACAUCCAAAGGAGAUUAUUCCACAGGCACCCGAAGGAAGAAAGCAAAACAAGCGAUCCUACCUUCCAAGCCUUAUUGAAACACUUGCUCCCACAGUAAAAGUCGACCUCAAGUGGAGCUCAUGUCAAGACCAAAAUCAGCCUCGGCAAUGAUUAUUAAAACCCAUUCUCCCUCCUGUGGCCAGAAUUAGUUAUUCUCUUUCCUCUCAUACAAAGAAGCAGAGCAUCAUGGGAGGCCAGGGCAGACAAUUUUCAAAGCACUUUCCAUCAUGCACUGUUUAGGUCAAGCCAACUUGCACUUGUAAGUAAUUUAUAAAGUGCUAUACUCUAAGGUAUCGCACACUCUCAUUAUCAUUAGGUUUUUGCAUAUUUAACUACAAUUUUUAAUUAGAUGGUAUUUUAUUAUUCAUGCACAUAAUUUGACUCCAGCUCAGACUGCUUUCCUGUAAAGAAAAUUCAUUUGAAUCAGAAGUUUGUAUUUUGUGGUCUUUAACUGGCAAGUGAUACAACUCUCCACUCUGUUAAUGGUUCUCUUUUAAUUUAGCUAAUAGCUAUCAUGUUAUGUACCUUUAUAAAUUUGCUAAAUGCCUAGCACUGGGAGUUCUUUCUCUCCCCCCUCUCUGUCUCUCUGCUGUAACUGUAGGUAGUUUGCUCUAUUUGGCUUUCACAGAGAAACUGUUUGCACAUGGUAUGGUUCCUUGAUGUAUUAUUAAAAUUGGUAAUGGACUCUGGGGA